AAAGUGGAUAAUAAUGAGUCCUGUUUAAAGAAAGAAAAAGAUUGAGUCUUCCAGAAAGCCUAGAAAGUGACAUCUUCCGAGAAAUUGGAAGCUACCCCGUAAUCAAAAUACAUUCAACAGCAUCUGUAGGAAAAGAUAUUACACCCCAAUUAAUAGAACUGCAUAUUAUGUUGCUUUGCUGCUGAAGACGGUAGACAAAAUAACAUAAAGUAUCUACAGUAAGAGGUGGCAAAUGGGUGGGCUGGGUCUAACUUGGGGUCAAAGCAGGUCAAAUCAAUAAAUGGUUCAUAACCCAACUAGCCCAAAGUUUGCUUGGGUCAAAACGGGUUGGUCAAAGAUGGGGCAAAUAAUAUUAUAACCCAACCCAACAUUGAAAAAACUUCCUUCCUUAUAAAUAUGAGAACCUUACCAAGUAUAAAAGCUAACCCCAGUGCAACGUAAGACUUGAAACAUAAUAUAUGGUUUUAGAACACCUAUAAACAAGGUGCUUCAAUGUUUUCAGAGUGUUCUGAAAGAAAAUGUACUCCCUUGAUUUUAUAUUGUCACUUUUGUUUACCGGUAAUUGAAAAUAGGUUUGUUCAUUUUCUAAAAGUAAAGUAUCGAUAUUUGUAAACUAACUGAUAAGUAUUCUAAGCUGUACGUUAUAUUAAAAUAAUGAAAUAAUACAUCUAAAUAUCACUAAAAGCUUAUAAAUAUGAUUGCCGAAAAAUGAGAAGUGAUAAUUCAAGCAGUAUCUAUUUUCAUUAGAAUGCUUUUCUUUUUCUUUUUGUUAUUGCCUCUAAAACUUUAGACAGUGAAACAAGAAAUCAACACACUUCAUUCAAUUCACCAAGUGUUCUAGAACCACACAUUAUCAAAUGCAUAAAAACUUUACAUGACUAAUUGAUAUCAUCAGAAUUCACAAUAUUACAUUAAUCAAAGUUAACUCCAACACGGAAAAGAAAAGAAAAUAAAAGAAAAACAUCACUUUUGAUGAAGAAAAAAUACAAAUCAAAUCCAGCAUCAGAUAUACCAGCAUAAAAUCCAGUACCUUAAUCCGUUGGGUCUCUUUGAGAAACCGAUAGAGGAAGUCAGAAGAGCUUGAUCUCUAUGAGAUAUCAGUAAAUGAGAAACUAAACCUGUUGGGUUGUGUGGAAUUUCAACCCGCCGGGUUACAUGAUUUAAUCCCAAUUCUGACCCACUAUGUUCAUGGGUCAUGUUGGGUCAACCCAUUAGCUGUUUUAAUAAUAACACAACCCAUUUAAGUUCAGGCAGGUUCGGCCGAUUACACAAUAAUGAUCUAUUUUCGCCACAUCUAAUCUACACUUUCACACAUAAAAAAGCAGGUCGGGUGUUAGAUACUCAUAAAGAGACUUCUCACUCAUUUACAUGAGCUCAUAAUACAGGAAAAGAGCUAUCUUUGCACCUUCUUAAGCUUCUUACUCCUAAAUUAAAGACCAAAUAAAGCUCCACUUUACAACAAAGUUUAAAGUGCAAUAAAAAGUAUUCAAGGUCCAUAUAUAGAAGCAGAAGAAUAAAAAUCUCCUGAUAACACGAUAAGCACUUUUUCUUUUCAGAAUCACCUAUAUUACUAAUAAUAAGAGGCACAUUACACCAUCACAUACUUGUUAUCACAUGAGAUAAAUUCACAUUUUACCAUUAAAGAAUAAUUGGAAAUGGGGUUUAGGGAACUUACAACAGAGCUUCACCGUAGAAAGAGUUGGGUGAGGAAAUUACAGAGAUGAAGAGGAGUGUAUUGGCUGACAAAGGGAGAGUCGUGGCGGGUCAUUAGACCAGACGACAUUUGGGCUUUUUG
rnacentral:lncRNA from 1 species